GAUGAACGCUGGCGGCGUGCCUAAUACAUGCAAGUCGAGCGAACAGACGAGGAGCUUGCUCCUCUUACGUUAGCGGCGGACGGGUGAGUAACACGUGGAUAACCUACCUAUAAGACUGGGAUAACUUCGGGAAACCGGAGCUAAUACCGGAUAACAUAUUGAACCGCAUGUUUCAAUAGUGAAAGACGGUAUUGCUGUCACUUAUAGUUGGAUCCGCGUCGAUUUAGCUAGUUGGUAAGGUAAGGGCUUACUAAGGCACCGAUCCGUAGCCGACCUGAGAGGGUGAUCGCCCACACUGGAACUGGAACACGGUCCAGACUCCUACGGGAGGCGGAAGAGGGGAAUCUUCGGCAAGGGGCGAAAGCCUGACGGAGCAAGGCCGCGUGAGUGAUGAAGGUCUUCGGUUCGUAAGACUCGGUUAUUAGGGAAGAACAAAUGUGUAAGUAACUGUGCACGUCUUGACGGUACCUAAUCAGAAAGCCACGGCUAACUACGUG
rnacentral:rRNA from 1 species